rnacentral:rRNA from 1 species
AGAGUUUGAUCCUGGCUCAGAAUGAACGUUGGCGGCGUGGAUUAGGCAUGCAAGUCGAACGGGCCGCAAGGCCAGUGGCGGAAGGGUGAGUAAGGCGACGGUAACCAACCCCAGGGUUGGGCAUAGCCGCGGGAAACUGCGGGUAAUUCCCAGCGACGUCCGAGCCGGGCAUCCGGUGCGGACCAAAGUCCUGGCGCCCU